rnacentral:rRNA from 1 species
CCAGAGAACUUAGCAGAGAUGCUUUGGUGCCUUCGGGAACUCUGAGACAGGUGCUGCAUGGCUGUCGUCAGCUCGUGUUGUGAAAUGUUGGGUUAAGUCCCGCAACGAGCGCAACCCUUAUCCUUUGUUGCCAGCGGCUCGGCCGGGAACUCAAAGGAGACUGCCGGUGAUAAACCGGAGGAAGGUGGGGAUGACGUCAAGUCAUCAUGGCCCUUACGGCCAGGGCUACACACGUGCUACAAUGGCGCAUACAAAGAGAAGCGACCUCGCGAGAGCAAGCGGACCUCAUAAAGUGCGUCGUAGUCCGGAUUGGAGUCUGCAACUCGACUCCAUGAAGUCGGGAUCGCUAGUAAUCGUAGAUCAGAAUGCUACGGUGAAUACGUUCCCGGGCCUUGUACACACCGCCCGUCACACCAUGGGAGUGGGUUGCAAAAGAAGUAGGUAGCUUAACCUUCGGGAGGGCGCUUACCACUUUGUGAUUCAUGACUGGGGUGAAGUCGUAACAAGGUAAGCGUAGCGAG